AUGACUUGCAAAUCGGCCUACAAGGCUGUUUGGAUCAACAAGCCAAUUGACCCCUUGGCAACGGCCAUUUGGAAGAACUAUGCACCCAACAAAUGCAGAAUUUUUCUUUGGCUAGCACACAAAAACCGGCUAUUCACCAACGAAAGACGAUUCAAAAGGGGAUUAACAAACUCCGCCUGUUGCCCGUUCUGCCCGGAUACAGAAUCAAUCACUCACCUCCUCCUGCAAUGCCACCACCUGCGUCCAUUUUGGGAAGAGCUAAAUUCAAUUACUGCCACGCUACCGACGGACCUACACCAGCUAUGGGGACAUGGCCUAACCAACAAACCUCGCUCCACGGUUAUCAUUGCUAUUCUGUGGAAUAUUUGGAAAAGAAGAAACGCCAAAGCUUUUCGGAAUGAACUUCAACCGAUCAACCUCGUAGCCACCUCAUGCUUUGGUCCAAUAGAUGCUCCAAUGAGCACGUUCUGCACCUUCUUCGAGAUUGGAGUACCAUGUUGUUCCACUUAUCUAUGA
rnacentral:rRNA from 1 species